rnacentral:rRNA from 1 species
AAUACAGAGGUCUCAAGCGUUGUUCGGAAUUACUGGGCGUAAAGGGUGCGCAGGCUGCACGGCAAGUCAAAUGUGGAAUUCAGGGGCUCAACCCCUGCACUGCGCUUGAUACUUCCGUGCUCGAGCUUUGGAGAGGAGCCUGGAAUUCUCGGUGUAGCAGUGAAAUGCGUGGAUAUCGAGAAGAACACUUAGGGCGUAGGCAAGACUCUGGACAAAUGCUGACGCUCAUGCACGAAGGCUAGGGUAGCGAACGG